UGUCUGAUGGCUGUGUCUUGUGAACAGACUGACCUGGCACGGUGGUCUGCUCCCUGCCAAGCUCUGUCUGCAGGGCACCAGUGACUGCCACAUGCACAAGUGCUGUUUCCAGUGCUUCCAGAUUAUGGACGUGUUACCUGGAAAAGUUCCUGUCCCUGAGAUCAUUCAAGAGUUUCCUCUGAACAAGAAAAUUUUACUUUUUUGAGGUAGCAUGGAGCUGAAUACGAGGCAGUCAAGGAUACUUCAUAUGUAUUGGCAGUCUGAUACUACAGAAAAUCAACCUCUGGCAAGGAGAGGGAAAGCAAGAGUUUAGGAAAAACUUCCGGGCCAAGAACUGCUGUGGGAAUCCACUCCCAGAUCUGAUUAAAUCAGGGGGUUGAGGACGACUUUCUUUUCUUAUACUUUUGCGUCAAUUAAGUUGCUCUGUGAUCUGGAUUGCACCUCCACAUGUUUGUUAUUUGAUUACUGUGAAUGCUCAUUGCUUACUUUGCUUUUGUUUUAUGUUUUUCUGAUAAUUUCCCGAAAGCCUUAAACCGAAAUAAAUGACAGGUUUAGUAAAAACUC